CAGCCCCAUUAUUAUUGCACAUUCGGUAGCAAAGAUGUUGACACCACAUGUCGUCUGAUGAUGACUUUUACGGGUUGGAAUAAGGUUUGGUCAUUGCAUUCCGUGAAAGGAAUGAGAGGAGAAAAGAAACUGGAAGACCUGGCUAUCUGCAGGCCAAUGCUGGCUGCAGGUCAAUAUUGAAUGCUCUUAUGAAAACUCAUAAGACAAUAACAAAAAAAAAAGAAGCUGAGGAUGCUGUUUUUAAAACAUGCUCCAUUCAAAAAAGGUGGAUUGAAAUUUAAGAAAGGUGUGACGGGUGCGUCUGCUGCAGGCAGGGAGGAUUUGACGGUCAGCCAGAGGAUUUGGAGAUAUACUGUAAUGUCUUUUAUGUGGACUUGCGUGUGAUUUAAGUUUUCACAAGGGUUUUAGUAUGUGUGAAAGUAUGUCAGUUUUCAAAAUUGAGCUAUGACAAUUUGCUCAAACUACAUAACUCAAAGAAAUUUGAAGCGGUCUUGUUGACGUCAUGAGCUUUUGUUUAAUACCAGUAUUGGUGAUAUAGGCCCAUGAUUAUAUACUGUAG